GCACCCUGCUGUAGUUCUGCUCCCUGCAGCUGAUUCAUGUUGAACAUGAUAUUCAUCUGCCUAUAUACUGCUGGAUCAUUAUUUGUGUGUAUGUGUGUGUGUGUGUGUGUGUGCGCGUGUGUGUGUGUGUGUGUGUGUGCGCGCAUGUUCACAGCAGAACCACAGUGCAAAAGGCAAUGGGAAGAAGCACCAGGACUCUCCCAACCUAAAGAAAAAAUCAAACGGGGUCAGCACACAACAGAAAGAAGAAAAGAAACUUCAGCCCAGAAGACUACAAGACAACUUCGACACAGAUGCUGCCUGCAACUUGAACGGCCUCAACGGCCAGGGCGCGAGCCGGCCGGACGCCGUCAAUGGUGACUUUGAGCACAUCAUGUCCUCCAGGUCCUUCCUGGGCUUUAAGUUUGACAGGGAAGCCAUCAUGAAGUGUUUUGAGUCCUGAGGCUCCCGUCCGCCGUGUCCCAGUAUUAGCCCAUAGUGAGACUUUGAGCGUCGCUGGGCAGCACAUGUACUAUUCCCUCUCCAGUCCAAAGGAAACACGUUUGCAGAGCUCCGAGUUGGGGAUAGGGACAGUGAAGGGCCUGACGGUGUGAAUCGGACCAACUUCUUGAAUAAAGUGGCAGAAGUGUUUUAUAUAGCUAUAUAUUUUUCCAGCCCAGAAAAGGCAAGCAUCAUGGUAGCUCGCAGCGGGCGGUUGGUUCUGGAGCCGCUUGGACCCGGAGUGGUGAACCGCGUCCAAACCUGGUUUUGGUGGCGGAGUACGGUGUGAAUGUGACAGAAACUGCAUCUUGUCUGAACCCCACAGGGGGCCACUUGGGAGAGCCCGCCCCCGCAUCUUGAGUGCACCAGUUGAUGAUUGGACGUGCUCGUUAGUGUGUGUCUAUGGGUGUGCUGAUGGGGAGGUUAUGUAAUGUUAUGUAUCCUUAGCCAGACUCCUCUCCCUCUCCCACUAUGUGUGUCUGAUACACGAGACAUCUGCAGGUACUGUACUGAUCAUAUUUUGCACGCAUUGCACCAACACGCUAAGUACCAUCAGUUUGGGGUGGGGGUGGGGUGUAGAAUUGUCUCUGUGAAGGUCUUGCAGGAACAGGGCAAAGGAACUCUUGCACUUUUAUAACGCUGUUGAGGAAGUGGUCCUCUCGUGAUGAAUGUUACUUUAAAAAGAAGCUGUUUGUUCGAAAUGAUGAGGGUUUCUUCAGGGCACUGUUCUCCUCUUCCGACUCGCCCUUAAAAUUCACACACACACACACACACACCAUCACACGUCUACUCAAUAAAUGCAUUAGCAAGUCACUGUUUUAAUUACCGUGUGGUUUAAACAGUUGUUUUCAGCUUUUCUGAGCCAGCAUUGAUUAGUACUGAAACCUGAUUGUGGAUCUGCAAUGGCUUCUCCUGGUAUCAUGAUGACCCAUCCUUCACAUAUUCGCUUCUCUUACAUAGAGCUUCGAAAGGUGUCUGUUAUCAACACUGAACUGUACAUUUCUAGCAGUGUUUCUCUUUGUAAAAAAAAAAAACACAAAAAAAACACAAAAAAUGCUUCCUUUUAUUUUUUAUUACGUGACUGCUUGAUUUGUGUUUCAUCAGGAAGAAUAGUAAUUUCCAUGCUUGUUUGUGAUCUGUGAACCGGCACUGAAUUCUUUGUGUGUUUUUUUUUCAUUGUUUUGUUUGUUUGCUUUUUUUAUUACAGUAAAUCCAGUAACAUUUGGACAGAAUAGUUUGAAAUAAUGGAGUUCCACCAGUAUGCAAUGUGGUUCACAUAGUUCCCAAGCUUUGGGGGGGGGUUUGCGUUUGC
ensembl:lncRNA